ACGCUGGCGGCAGGCCUAACACAUGCAAGUCGAGCGGUAGAGAGAAGCUUGCUUCUCUUGAGAGCGGCGGACGGGUGAGUAAUGCCUAGGAAUCUGCCUGGUAGUGGGGGAUAACGUUCGGAAACGGACGCUAAUACCGCAUACGUCCUACGGGAGAAAGCAGGGGACCUUCGGGCCUUGCGCUAUCAGAUGAGCCUAGGUCGGAUUAGCUAGUUGGUGAGGUAAUGGCUCACCAAGGCGACGAUCCGUAACUGGUCUGAGAGGAUGAUCAGUCACACUGGAACUGUGACACGGUCCAGACUCCUACGGGAGGCAGCAGUGGGGAAUAUUGCACAAUGGGCGCAAGCCUGAUGCAGCCAUGCCGCGUGUGUGAAGAAGGCCUUAGGGUUGUAAAGCACUUUCAGCGAGGAGGAAGGCGUUGCAGUUAAUAGCUGCAGCGAUUGACGUUACUCGCAGAAGAAGCACCGGCUAACUCCGUGCCAGCAGCCGCGGUAAUACGGAGGGUGCAAGCGUUAAUCGGAAUUACUGGGCGUAAAGCGCACGCAGGCGGUUUGUUAAGUCAGAUGUGAAAUCCCCGAGCUUAACUUGGGAACUGCAUUUGAAACUGGCAAGCUAGAGUCUUGUAGAGGGGGGUAGAAUUCCAGGUGUAGCGGUGAAAUGCGUAGAGAUCUGGAGGAAUACCGGUGGCGAAGGCGGCCCCCUGGACAAAGACUGACGCUCAGGUGCGAAAGCGUGGGGAGCAAAC
rnacentral:rRNA from 1 species